rnacentral:rRNA from 1 species
GACGAACGCUGGCGGCGUGCUUAACACAUGCAAGUCGAACGGAAAGGCCCCUUUGGGGGUACUUGAGUGGCGAACGGGUGAGUAACACGUGAGUAACUUGCCCUUGACUUCGGGAUAACUUCAGGAAACUGGGGCUAAUACCGGCUAGGAAUCCUUGCCGCAUGGUGGGGGUUGGAAAGCUUUGGCGGGUGUGGAUGGACUCGCGGCCUAUCCGGUUGUUGGUGGGGGAGUGGGUUACCAAGGCUUUGACGGGUAGGCGGCCGGGGAGGGCGAACGGCCACAUUGGGACUGGGGAUAGGGCCAGACUCCUACGGGGGGGAGCAGGGGGGAAUAUUGGACAAAGGGCGGAAGCCUGAAGGAACAACGCCGGGGGGGGGAUGAAGGGCUUCGGGUUGUAAACCGCUUUCCGCAGGGGAGAAGCUGGUGGUGACGGUACCUGCAGAAGAAGCACCGGCUAACUACGUG